rnacentral:tmRNA from 1 species
GGGGGUGCAAUGGUUUCGACGGGGGGAGAGAACGCCGGCAAGCGAGCAGCGGCAUUGCGGAACCGCUAUAAAAUCCGUAAAUCUUUAAAUAAUAAACGACAACACUAAACCUGUUGCCCUUGCCGCUUAAUCUGGCAAGCGUUUGUAUAUAGAGUACCACGGCUUUAUACAGGCGUCGACUUAGUGGUGAACGUGAACAGAAGAAUGUCUUGACUUCUGUCAUGAACUAAAGACUACCGAAGCUGCGGACCUGUCUGUGGGUACGCAGCGGGGGGAAUCCUUGUACACAGACUGCGCUCGGAGAAAACCGACCGGAUCGCCUUUCGGACAGGAGUUCGAUUCUCCUCACCUCCA